GUAGAGGAGAUGCAUUCAGU
rnacentral:piRNA from 1 species